GACGCGCCGGCUCCUCCGCGGCGUGCGCCAGGAGCGGGGCCGUGCGCGACGUGCCGCUAGAGUCGCCCGCCCCUGCCGCGCUCAGGCCCGGCCACUUCCGCGUGCCGCCCUAGUCUCCACCCAACUCCUUUGCUCUGGCUUUUCCUGGCCCGGAGGCCCCGCGGAGGUCGCAGGGUGCUGAAGGGUGGCCUCGGGGCUCCGCGGAGCUGCUUUGUCGACUCUCCGGGGACGGGCGAGCAGGGCUUGACCUUGGGAGGCCCGACCCUCCGCCUCUUGCCCCGCCCUUCUCUCGCCUCCUCCCUUCCCCACCCCUCCGGCUGAGGCCUCUGACAUUUACAUUAACCUUUCCUGCGGCUAAAGAUACAGUUACAACUCUGAGUGCAGUCGCCUUCACCCGGAAAGUUUGCGUUGGGACUGAGCUCCCGCCCUUCCACGGCCUGGUUGCUGGGACGCAGGCUUUUGAAAACGCUAGUCUUUGCCAGAUGGUGCUUCUAGAUCUGUUCUUCGAGGAGUUGGAGCUGAAUUUUCAUGAGAACAGAAACUGCAUACCCAAGGGUGCUCUUAUGCAAGCCUUCGUGCCUGGCCAGGAAAUUAAUGCAACCCCUUGGCUCGCCCCUCGCCGCACCCUCCCCACCAGCUAAGGAACGUUAACUGACUUCAGGGGCAGGUCCACUCGGAUAGGUGAAACUCUGAAAGAUUUUUCAGUAAACUUUAUGAAUGAAAAGGUGGAUUUAUAAAACAGGCAACUUGGAGCUGAUUAUUCAUUCACUUUUAUAAAACAUCUUCUAACGAGUUUCUCUUUCUGUAUUUAAAAUAAGAUUUGACUUAUACCUA